UACGUAGGGGGCAAGCGUUGUCCGGAAUCAUUGGGCGUAAAGAGCGUGUAGGCGGCCCGGUAAGUCCGCUGUAAAAGUCAAAGGCUUAACCUUUGAAUGUCAGUGGAUACUGCCGGGCUAGAGUCCGGAAGAGGCGAGUGGAACUCCUGGUGUAGCGGUGGAGUGCGCAGAUAUCAGGAAGAACACCAACGGCGAAGGCAGCUCGCUAGGACGGUACUGACGCUGAGACGCGAAAGCGUGGGGAGCGAACAGG
rnacentral:rRNA from 1 species